CGCAGGCGCCGUGCGAGACUGUCGAAGAAUCAAGUCUGUAGAAGUGGAGCGGUCGCGGCGGCAGCAGCAGCAGCGACGGUGGCGGCGGCGGAGCUGAGGCGGGCUGGCCGCUGACGCUGGCGCUGGAGAGCGGCGACGCCAGGAGCUGUGAGAGAGCGGCGGAGCGACCCGGGGCCCGCGCCGCGCCCGAGCUCCACGCCGCCCGGCCGCCGCCACCCCGGCGCGGCAUGCCCCGCCGCUCGGGCUGAGCCUGC
rnacentral:lncRNA from 1 species